UCACGAUGAAAGAGGGCGCGAUGGUUAGGUCAAACCAGGACUGCAUUUCCUCCCAUUCUGCAAGUGCAUCAACAUUAGCAAAGCCUGUAAGAAUGUUCUCCUGACUCAUUGCUUCCCGGGGCCACUUCUCCGAAGUCGGGCUGUUCACUAGAAGCCUGGACGGCAGGCAGGCUGCCCUCACUGAGCUCUCCCAGCUGCAAACCCCUCCUUUCCCUCCUCCUCCCUAAUCCUUCUGCCGCCGCCUCCUCCUCCUCCUUCUCCCCUGCAGUUGGAUUUCUCUUACAGGUUUGCAAAAAGGGAAGCCUGAGGUUUCUUUGACAUUGCUAUUUGAAUGAAAAUAGAAUCCCAGCUGUAGUCCUCUGCCCUGGAGGACAGCCAGGUCCCUUAUCCCUGCAGGUCGAACUGACUGAAAAGGGGAAAAGCGAUCUGGGCGGGCAGGAAGGUCACACUUUGCAUGCAAGGUGUGUUUUGAGAGGCCAUGCCAUGCAAGCGGGCAUGGCAGGGAAGGACCCUCAGUCUUCCCUGCAAUAAAUUGUCCUGCAAGGUUGUCGACAAGCUGAGCCCUCUGGGCUAGGAUCUGGAGGAAAGACUGCGUGGGAAAUGGUAAGCUCCUUGAAGACAGGUGGCUUGUCUGUCUUGUUCACAAUUAACAUCAACAGCACGUAGCAGCAUCUUUAGUCAACGUCCAGCGAAGAGUACACACAUGCUCGACAUACAUUAUCCGAGAUACAUUAUCCGAGAUGCUGCGUGGUGAAGACAGUUCCUAUCUGAAGCAAACAUGGCCCAAACCUGCAUGCUCCAGGCCCUCAGACCACUUUUCUCCUUGGCACUGAAGGACCUUCUGGAAGGCCAGCUCUUCUUGAGCUCAGGACUGAUGAUGAGAAGGAGUGGAGCCAUGCUGGAAUCUAGUAUGCAUUUACUCAACGAGUCUUCACUGAGCACCUGAGGGGCAUAGGAUGGGCACUGAUUCCUUAGGAUGUCACUGGCCCCAAGGGUGUGUGUGAGUGUACACAAGAAGAUAGCCAUCUGCAUGCCAGAGAGCCCUCGCCAGGAAUCUCUUCAGGAACUGAAUUGGCCAGCACCUUGAUAUUGGGAUUCUAGCCUCCAGAGCUGGCACUUUCCAGAAGCUACACACUACCCGAAAAGCUACUCCUCAAAACUUCAUCCCACAGCCACACCUUGCUGCAAGGGAAGACGGGAACUGCAGAUUCAAUUCGGAGAAACCAUGUGCACAGCCUGUGCACAGCCACUGUGGAUAUGUGGGGUUCCAUUACUGAAGAUGUAGAGAAUGGAAGGUGGGGGACCCAUCAGCCACAACAGGGAAAGAGUAUGAUCAGCGGAUUGGGUUGUAGAUAACGUUCACGGGACCUGUCAAGAGAUAGUUCUCUAUGAGUCUCUCUCACAUUUGUGGAUGGCCCACAAGCAGCAGGACUGGCUGUCCUUCUCCUAGACUAUCUUUCCAAGGUUGUUUGUAUGGCAAGAAUGCUUAGAAGACAGAGAUAACGUCUACCCAUGGAGUGAAGUGCAGGCAGACUAACGUCCGAAAUAAUAAAGAUAAUGGCUCCUUUCGCAGAUCAUGUCUCCUCUGCCUAAGAGGAGGUUUAUUGCCCAUUACACAAUGCUUGGGUUCCCUAAGCACAGGAUUCCAAAUUGAGAGAGAUGCUAUAAAAAUAUUAACAUCAUGAAAUACAAAAAAGGAAAGAACUACAUAUUCUAAACAGCAAGGGACUAAACGGGACAACAAAAUGCAAUUUGUCACUCUGAUUGGAUCUUGAAUUGAAAAAGGAAAAAGCUAUAAUAAUAUUAUCUGACGUAUGUCCAUAUUCACAUUUCCCUUGGAAAAACUGAAUGUGGCUACAUAUUAGAUAAUAUUAUGUCCUUGUUAAAUUUCUUGAAUGUGAUCGCGGUAUUGUAAUUAUGUAAGAAAGUGUUCAAAUUCUUAGGAGAUACACAUAGAAAUACGUAGGAGAGAAAGGUCGUGAUCUCAGCGACUUACUUUCAAAUGGCUCAGGAAAAGAAUGUGUACACGCAUAUAACAGCUUGCUAGCAGUUGGUGAACUGGGGUGAGGAACGUAUGAGUGUUCUUUGAAUUAUUGUAUAAUCUUCUCUGUAGUUUUCAAAGACAACGGGUUGGAAACAAUAGGAUGGAAUCCUGGUGAGCCUGUGGAAGGUGGGUUGGGGGAGGCCAUGGCUGGACUCGGGGAGGCUGACCUAGGAAUUCCACCCAUUCAGGAUUUCUCUCACCAUCAUUCACCAGCCUGGUCUCUGGUCCUGCUGAUAAAGGACUUUUUCCAGGCCUCCCCCAGGCUGCCCAGCUGGUAACCAGAGAGGCAAAGGAGGUCCAACUCCCUGUGGCCACUGGAAAAAUCCUGGGGAAGGGCCUGCUGGGCUCAGCUCGGGUCAUGCACAUGGCCACCCCGGUCAGAAAAGGGCAGGGUGGCCAGGACCCAGUAUCGGCUGUGUACUCCGAGACGGUGGCCUUCGUGAAGGUGGCAGGGGUCAGCACGGGAUCAGUUACACACAGAGAGCAGGGAGGAGGAGAGAAGCGGGGGAGCAGAGGAAAUAAAGAUGAUUCAGCACUUACCAUUAACGGAGAGAAUACAAGGGGAGAAGUUUGGAGUGCUCUAUUAUGCACUUGAAAUCGGAAGCUUUGGGGGCAUGAAGAGGAGGAAUGUCACAGAUUGUUGGAAGAACAGAUCUGUAGCUCAGAAGACUGUUGGCAGUCCCAGGUGGGCGACGAAGGCGAUGGGGGAGUCAGCCCCAGUACCAGAAGUUGGAAGGUGCUACCUCGUCCAGCAGCCUAGCAGCAGAGCCCUCUCCUUGUAAGGAGGCCCCCGGAUGAGGAAGAGGGACCCUGGCUAAUGAUGAGGGAGGAG